rnacentral:rRNA from 1 species
UAAUUCCGUGCCAGCAGCCGCGGUAAUACGGGAGGUGCAAGCGUUAUCCGGUUUUAUUGGGUUUAAAGGGUGCGUAGGCGGCUUAUUAAGUCAGUUGUGAAAUCCUAGUGCUUAACGCUAGAACUGCAAUUGAUACUACUAGGCUUGAGUUAAGAAGAGGUAAGCAGAAUUUAUGGUGUAGUAGUGAAAUGCUUAGAUAUCAUAAGGAAUACCAAUAGCGUAGGCAGCUUACUGGUCUUUAACUGACGCUGAGGCACUAAAUCGUGGGGAGCAAACAGGAUUAGAUACCCUGGUAGUCCACGCCGUAAACGAUGAUCACUCGAUAUACAUGAUACAUCAUGUGUGUCUAAGCGAAAGCGUUAAGUGAUCCACCUGGGGAGUAUACUCGCAAGGGUGAAACUCAAAGGAAUUGACGGGGGUCCGCACAAGCGGUGGAGUAUGUGGUUUAAUUCGAUAAUACGCGAGGAACCUUACCUGGGCUAGAAUGUAUUUUGCUACCUUGAGAAAUUGAGGGUUCCUUCGGGACAGAAUACAAGGUGCUGCAUGGCUGUCGUCAGCUCGUGCUGUGAAGUGUUAGGUUCAGUCCUAGAACGGGCGAAACCCUUUUGCUUAAUUGCCAGCACAUAAUGGUGGGGACUUUAAGUAGACUGCCCGUGUAAGCGGGAGGAAGGAGAGGAUGAGGUCAAGUCAUCAUGGCCUUUAUGCCCAGGGCUACACACGUACUACAAUGGCAUGUACAAAGGGAAGCUACUUGGUAACAAGAUGCAAAUCUCAAAAGCAUGUCUCAGUUCGGAUUGGGGUCCGCAAUUCGACCCCAUGAAGUUGGAAUCGCUAGUAAUCGCGUAUCAGCAAUGGCGCGGUGAAUACGUUCUCGGACCUUGUACACACCGCCCAUCAAGCCAUAGGAGUUGGUAGAGCUUGAAGACAGUGG